rnacentral:rRNA from 1 species
UACGUAGGGGGCUAGCGUUGUCCGGAUUUAUUGGGCGUAAAGAGCGUGUAGGCGGUCAGGCAGGUCCGUUGUGAAAACUCGAGGCUCAACCUCGAGACGCCGAUGGAAACCAUCUGACUAGAGUCCGGAAGAGGAGAGUGGAAUUCCUGGUGUAGCGGUGAAAUGCGCAGAUAUCAGGAAGAACACCCGUGGCUAAGGCGGGUCUCUGGGCAAUUCCUGACGCUGAGGCGCGAAAGCGUGGGGAGCAAACGGG